GCGCGAGUGGCGGAAUUGGUAGACGCGCUGGCUUCAGGUGCCAGUGUUCGCAAGAACGUGGGGGUUCAAGUCCCCCCUCGCGCACCG
rnacentral:tRNA from 4 species